GGAGGGGGCUAGCGUUGUUCGGAAUUAUUGGGCGUAAAGGGCGCGUAGGCGGCCCGGCAAGUCAGUCGUGAAAGCCCUCGGGCUCAACCGAGGAAUUGCGAUUGAAACUGCCGGGCUUGAGUUCUGGAGAGGGUAGCGGAAUUCCCAGUGUAGCGGUGAAAUGCGUAGAUAAUGGGAGGAACACCCGUGGCGAAGGCGGCUACCUUGACAGAUACUGACGCUGAGGCGCGAAAGCGUGGGGAGCAAACAGGAUUAGAUACCCUGGUAGUCCACGCUGUAAACGAUGGGCACUUGGUGUUGCGGGUAUCGACCCCUGCAGUGCCGAAGCUAACGCAUUAAGUGCCCCGCCUGGGGAGUACGGUCGCAAAGGCUG
rnacentral:rRNA from 1 species